CUCACGCAUGUACCCGACGGAGACGAGGCACGAAGCAUUAGGAGAAAAGAAGCCACGCAGCGGGCGCGCCUACGGCAACGGUGGCACACAACCAACAAAGAUGCAGCGAUGACGACAACGACAUAGAGGCACACACUCGAUGGCAGCGAUGAGCGCGCCUGCAAUGGAUUGCCUCCAACUGGAGUCCGGCUGCCCGCAAGCAAACCGAGGCCUGCCGGGAUGGAUAACAGGGAGUAGAGCAAGCCCCUCUAAUUUAUUGUACUUCUUGUCUUUCAUCUUACAGGAGUAAGAGCAAUCCAAGGAGGCACCCACGCAGCAAAGCCACACAUCGGAGGCACCCAACAAAUACCACGGCCCAGAGGAGACGCGCCGCGGGGGUAGCGUCCAGGAGACGGAUGAUAACCGGAUCAAGAGGAGGCACCCAGGCAGCGGCGACGGCACAUACCGGCACGAUGCACCAGUGGCCUAACCGAAGGACGCGAAGGUUUGGUGCGAGACGCUCGCGGCAGCACUGUGCCGAAGGCGUCGCUGACCGCACCGGUAUGCAUGGAAGUUGAAACGCGUCUAUGGCAGUAGUCACGCGGCCACCACAAUGGCGGUGGCGGCAGCACGUUGCCGAUGAUCCGAUGUUGCCCACAGCGGGCAAGUGCCUGGCAAGACGAAGAACGAGGAGCAAACUAGUUUCUUUUGCUACCCAUAUCCUUCAUCUAUCUUGUCUUACAGGAGAAGAAGAAAAUAGAUCACGCAGGUGGCAGCAGCAGCAGCAGCAGCCGCAACACCAUGGUAGCUAUAACUUGUUGACAAGACCAAGGGGGAGAAGAGAAGGGCACCCAAGCAGAGGAAUGCAGCCGGCCAAACCCACGCGGCGACACGCCCCUGGAGGCAGCGGACUCAAUGGCAGCAGCACGGGCACAAAGGGGAGGCACCAGCAGACGCAUCUGGCCAAACACCCAAGAGGAGCCCGCGGUGGCUGCGGCCGAUUGAAGAAUCUAACGCGGUGACCGUGACACGCCCCUCUUGAUGCGAUGGAGACGGUGAACGGCGCCGCCGGACCAGGAGACUAUACAUCGACACCGCCAGGACCGUCGUCUACAUCAUCAAGCCGGUGCCAGGGGAUGGAGGCGUGGAACUCGCCAGGAUGGCGCCAAUCGUCAAGAUGGUGCCACGGAGGAUGGCGACACGGAGCUCGCCAAGACGACGCCCGUCCUUUUCUUCACUAACCUGGUGCCGCAUGGACUUCGCAAGGACGUCACCAGCCGUCUACUUCGUCAUGCUAGAGCAGGAGGACGGAGCCGUGGAGCUCCCAAGGAUGCCGCCGCCGUGCCGCGGUGGAUGGCGGCAAGAGCUCGCCAAGAUGACGCCAAUGCCGACCUCAUCAAGCCAGUGCCAUGGAGGAUGGAGGUCUGGAGCUCGUGAAGACACCGCCUCUGUGCUGCAGUUAAUGGCCACACGGAGCUCGCUAGGAUGAUGCCCGUCGUUUUCUUCAGUGAGCCGGUGCCACGGCGACACGGAGCUCGCUCGGACGGCGCCCGUCAUCUUCUUCAUCAAGACGGUGCCAAUGAGGACGAAGGUGUGGAGCUCGCGAGGAUGCUGCCGCCAUGCUGCGGUGGAUGAUGGCCCGGAGUUUCCCAAGACGACGUCCAUCGCCAACAUUAUGAAGCUGGAGCCCAGAGGCAAGGAGCUCGCGGGGAUGUUGUUGCGUGCCGCGGAGGAUGGCGACACGGAGCUCGCUAUGGAGAAAAAUCUUUUGCAGCCAUGGAGAAAUGGAGCCCCUUCCUCAUUAAGCCGACGACAUGGACGACAGAGGCGUGGAGCUUGCGACACGACACUACUGAUGUCUACCUCAUCAAGACGGAGCCCACGACACGGAGUCACGAAGACGAGCACACCUUGGUGCUGCCCGCAACAUGAAGCCCGCAUCACGGAGAAGAAGAUGGCACUGCACGGUGCUGUCCGUGACCUGGAGGAAAAGACGGUGCCGCUUAAUGCUAUUCGCAACCCAGAGCCCAUGAUGACAAGGCGCGACAAUGGGAAGGCGAUGCGACUUCACCAAGAUCAUAGCACGACCCAGUGAGGUGGUGCCCUUGUCUUGGCGGACCUCUGUAAACUCGUCGUCUAGUCGAGAUGAGGCACCACCACAUGGUGCUGUCCACAUUCCAGAGCCCUUGAAAAUGAUGCGCGAUCGCGGGAAGGCGACGCAACUUCACCAA